GAUGAACGCUGGCGGCGUGCCUAAUACAUGCAAGUCGAGCGAACAGACGAGGAGCUUGCUCCUCUGACGUUAGCGGCGGACGGGUGAGUAACACGUGGAUAACCUACCUAUAAGACUGGGAUAACAUCGGGAAACCGGAGCUAAUACCGGAUAAUAUAUUGAACCGCAUGGUUCAAUAGUGAAAGACGGUUUUGCUGUCACUUAUAGAUGGAUCCGCGCCGCAUUAGAUAGUUGGUAAGGUAACGGCUUACCAAGGCGACGAUGCGUAGCCGACCUGAGAGGGGGAUCGGCCACACUGGAACUGAGACACGGUCCAGACUCCUACGGGAGGCAGCAGUAGGGAAUCUUCCGCAAUGGGCGAAAGCCUGACGGAGCAACGCCGCGUGAGUGAUGAAGGUCUUCGGAUCGUAAAACUCUGUUAUUAGGGAAGAACAAAUGUGUAAGUAACUAUGCACGUCUUGACGGUACCUAAUCAGAAAGCCACGGCUAACUACGUG
rnacentral:rRNA from 1 species